AGCUCCAAUAGCGUAUAUUAAAGUUGCUGCAGUUAAAAAGCUCGUAGUUGGAUCUCGGGGUACCUGGUCUAGCCGGUAUAGCUCACGCUAAAACUGGGCUGACCCCCCAACGUGAGGUAUUCGUCUCCGGGUGCACUUCAUUGGGUGCUCGUGAGGGGCCUCGUAGUUACUGUGAAAAAAUUAGAGUGUUCAAAGCAGGCUCAUAUGUUCGGAUAGUCGUGCAUGGAAUAACUGAAUACGUGACUGGCGAUUGGAAGGGGGGGUCGGCGACUGGUCAAAUGAUUAAGAGUGACUGCCAGGGGCAUUGGUAUGGCGGGGUUAGAUGUGAAAUUCUUGGAUCCUCGCCAGACCAACAAAAGCGAAAGCAUUUGCCAAGAAUGUCUUCA
rnacentral:rRNA from 1 species